CAUGUUUCCCUCGGCCCCUGUUCUUCAAAUUCCCCACCUCAACCUUCACAACCCUCACCUGCUUAAGCUUCACAACCGUCCCAUGAUGGUGAGCCUUUCUUCACAGGGGUGAGAACCUGUGCAUCAAAGAAAUCAGGGAACAAGAGAGAAAGAGAAUCCGGAGAAGUCUCAAGAGAAUCUGGAGAAGUCUCAGAACUCAAUGAAGGAAGCUUAAACAACAUCCAAAUAAACUUCAAACUACAGACCAUGUUGGUAAGUCCUUCUCACCCAAUCCUCACUUGAAGUAGUUUAAGACAGGAGGGACAAUAGCUUGGCAAACGAAAGUUGUCAUCUCUUCCAUUAUGUUGAUGUAUAAAUACAUAUAUUAAGACACAUACUCACUAAAGAAAUAUAUUAUGCAUAUCAGCAAGAUCACCACAAAAUCACAAGAUAUCAGUCUAUGGCACAGCACUAGACUCGAACAAGAUUGUUUCGUUCAAUAUCCUCCUUCCUUCCUGUUUUGGAAGGCACACUACAUCCCAGCUAGUCUUUGCUCCCCUAGCAUGAGCUUGUUUACCCUUCCACAAGUAUGUUUGCAUUUUUUUUUUCACUGCUUUUAAUACUUUUUUUUUGGGAAGCAUAAAGGCAGAGCACCAGAAAUUUACAAGAGAGUGGAAAUCCCGGAAGAUAUACAAAUAAACCUGUAAAGUGUAAAGUACAAACCUGUGAAGAAAGACUUACCAUCAUGUGACGGUUGUGAAGCUUAAAAAGGUGAGGAUUGUGAAGGUUGAGGCGGGGAAUGUGAAGAACACGGUGAAGAACAGUGGCUGAGGGAAACAUGGUGAAGAACGGGGGAGGGAGGAAGAGAGCCGUAGAAGAACCACGGGCAGAGAAGGGAUAGCUUUCUUUUGCAGUAUAAUCCCUCUCUCAGAGCCACUGGACAAGGAAGAAGAGCUGAAGGUUCUCAGCCUUGCCGCUUGCCAAAAAUUGCCCAGCAUUGUUGUUUCUUUUGGUCAGAGGGAUGCUGAUAUUGGCCGUGAGCAUGCUGAUUUUCGCCUGGAGGAUGUUGCAUUGGGCCAUAACACCGCUUCAUAUCAUAUCUUAGCAAAAUAUGAGGAACUUGAACACAAGAUCAAUGAGCUAGUUAACCUUGGAGUUAUCAAAGAAUCACUUUCCUUCUAACCAGAGAAGAAGGGUCACGGAGAAAGAAGUUGCUCAAAAGGGACUCCAACUGCAAGACACUCUUUUUGACGAUAGCUCAACUAAAGCUUAUUUGGGUCGGGUCGAUUGAUCGCUUUGAAAAGUUCCAGCUUCAUGGAUUCAGAGUGGCGGUUUAUGAUUCGGGUGACCGUGAAUCAGUCAUGGCUCUCAUCAGGGAGAGCAAUGUAAUGUUUUGGCCAAUCCCAAUGAGGCAGAGGAAUGGGCCAGUUAUUUUUUUUUUUACUGAAUAAAAUACUUCAUUAAUAAUAA